GACGAACGCUGGCAGCGUGCUUAACACAUGCAAGUCGAACGGAAAGGCCCUGCUUUUGUGGGGUGCUCGAGUGGCGAACGGGUGAGUAACACGUGAGUAACCUGCCCUUGACUUUGGGAUAACUUCAGGAAACUGGGGCUAAUACCGGAUAGGAGCUCCUGCUGCAUGGUGGGGGUUGGAAAGUUUCGGCGGUUGGGGAUGGACUCGCGGCUUAUCAGCUUGUUGGUGGGGUAGUGGCUUACCAAGGCUUUGACGGGUAGUCGGCCUGAGAGGGUGACCGGCCACAUUGGGACUGAGAUACGGCCCAGACUCCUACGGGAGGCAGCAGUGGGGAAUAUUGCACAAUGGGCGGAAGCCUGAUGCAGCAACGCCGCGUGCGGGAUGACGGCCUUCGGGUUGUAAACCGCUUUCGCCUGUGACGAAGCGUGAGUGACGGUAAUGGGUAAAGAAGCACCGGCUAACUACGUG
rnacentral:rRNA from 1 species